rnacentral:lncRNA from 1 species
GAAAAGACUCUGCUUUUACAGAUGGCCAGCCUGAGGCUAGGAUAGCCAUUUCCCCAAAUAGGGAGCAGACCAGGACUUGCAGAAACAAAACAGAUCACGCCAUUGCUGGCUUGUCUCUUUGUUCUGGUGUCGAGAUCAGGCCCCUCCCUCCACCACUGAAGAGACGGAGAGGAAAGCUAAAAAUGGCUCUGUUCAGGGGGUCACAGAAUUUGGAGUCAGCUUUGUGCCUCGGGCCGUGGUCGCGCGCCCACUGUGUUCCUCGGGAGACGCCACACGCGGUUGCAGGCGGGCGCGGGCGGGGCGCUCAGCAUGGCAAGUCUGCACGUGUAUCCAAGUUGCCGCGACUCAGCGAUGAUUUUCUGGCAGAUCUGAGCCAGGAGAGGGUUAAGAUCAAGUUAGAGGAGGUGUUUCAUAACCAGAGGGAAGAAGUCAUGUGAGGACACAGGGAAGGCAGCCGUCUACAAGCCUGGAAGAGAGGUCUCACCAGAAACCAAC